GUAGUCUCGCACAGAUGCAUAUCAAUAAGCGGAGGAAAGAAACUAACAAGGAUUCCCCUAGUAACGGCGAGUGAAGCGGGAAGAGCUCAAAUUUGAAAUCUUAAAGGGUUUCCCUUUACGAAUUGUAGUUUAAAGAAGUGUUUUCUGUUGAGGUUUUGGUAAAAGUUCUUUGGAAUAGGACAUCAUAGAGGGUGAGAAUCCCGUAUUUGACCUUUACUUUCAACUUUGUGAUACACUUUCAAAGAGUCGGAUUGUUUGGGAAUGCAGUCCAAAAUGGGUGGUAAAUUUCAUCUAAAGCUAAAUAUUGGCGAGAGACCGAUAGCGAACAAGUACCGUGAGGGAAAGAUGAAAAGAACUUUGAAAAGAGAGUUAAACAGUACGUGAAAUUGUCAAAAGGGAAGCGUUUGACACCAGUGUUGUUUUUCUGAAAAUCAAUUAAAGAACUGUUUAUGCUAAGCUUGUUUAGACUUUAUCAGCUAUCUGCUUAGUUUUGAGCUUUUCUUUAAUGCACUUUUCAGUUAACAAGUCAACAUCAAUUUCUUUUGCUGUAAAAAAGCUUGAGGAAGGUGGCUUGAGAUUCGUCUUAAGUGUUUAUAGCCUCUUGCCUAUGCAGUCGGAGAGAUUGAGGUCUGCAGCGUAGAUCCUUCGGGGCUAAAUGCAUUUGUGCUAAGUUAUAGCAUUUUAUAGACAACUUGUUGACUAUGAUUUGUCUUGUAGCUUACUCGCUUAUGUUAUUUUACCUACGCUUAGGAUGUUGACGCAUGAGAUAUACGC
rnacentral:rRNA from 1 species